UGGGGAAUAUUGCACAAUGGGCGCAAGCCUGAUGCAGCCAUGCCGCGUGUGUGAAGAAGGCCUUCGGGUUGUAAAGCACUUUCAGCGAGGAGGAAGGUGGUGAACUUAAUACGUUCAUCAAUUGACGUUACUCGCAGAAGAAGCACCGGCUAACUCCGUGCCAGCAGCCGCGGUAAUACGGAGGGUGCAAGCGUUAAUCGGAAUUACUGGGCGUAAAGCGCACGCAGGCGGUUUGUUAAGUCAGAUGUGAAAUCCCCGGGCUCAACCUGGGAACUGCAUUUGAAACUGGCAAGCUAGAGUCUCGUAGAGGGGGGUAGAAUUCCAGGUGUAGCGGUGAAAUGCGUAGAGAUCUGGAGGAAUACCGGUGGCGAAGGCGGCCCCCUGGACGAAGACUGACGCUCAGGUGCGAAAGCGUGGGGAGCAAAACAGGAUUAGAUACCCUGGUAGUCCACGCUGUAAAACGAUGUCGAUUUUGGAGGUUGUGCCCUUGAGGCGUGGCUUCCGGAGCUAACGCGUUAAAUCGACCGCCUGGGGAGUACGGCCGCAAGGUUAAAAACUCAAAGG
rnacentral:rRNA from 1 species